rnacentral:rRNA from 1 species
AUCCCUUAAAGCCAUUCUCAGUUCGGAUUGUAGGCUGAAACUCGCCUACAUGAAGCUGGAGUUACUAGUAAUCGCAGAUCAGAAUGCUGCGGUGAAUGCGUUCCCGGGUCUUGUACACACCGCCCGUCACACCACGGAAGUUGGGGGCGCCCGAAGCCACUUAACUAACCCUUUUGGGAAGCGAGUGUCGAAGGUGAAAUCAAUAACUGGGGUGAAGUCGUAACAAGGUACC